UCCGGCUUGGCGCCGGCAGUCUCCCUAGAGUCCCCACCAUUACGUGCUGGCAACUAAGGACGGGGGUUGCGCUCGUUGCGGGACUUAACCCAACACCUCACGGCACGAGCUGACGGCAGCCAUGCACCACCUGUACACCACCAAAAGAAGCCCUAUCUCUAGAGCGGCAUGGUGUAUGUCAAACCCAGGUAAGGUUCUUCGCGUUGCAUCGAAUUAAUCCGCAUGCUCCGCCGCUUGUGCGGGCCCCCGUCAAUUCCUUUGAGUUUCGGUCUUGCGACCGUACUCCCCAGGCGGAGUGUUUCACGCGUUAGCUGGGCCCCUGAUCCACGUAGACCAAGGGCGAACACUCAUCGUUUACGGCUGGGACUAC
rnacentral:misc_RNA from 1 species